rnacentral:rRNA from 1 species
CUACGGGAGGCACCAGUGAGGAAUAUUGCACAAUGGGGGGAACCCUGAUGCAGCAACGCCGCGUGGAGGAUGACGCAUUUCGGUGUGUAAACUCCUUUUAUAUGCCAAGAAAAUGACGGUAGCAUAUGAAUAAGCACCGGCUAACUCCGUGCCAGCAGCCGCGGUAAUACGGAGGGUGCAAGCGUUACUCGGAAUCACUGGGCGUAAAGGACGCGUAGGCGGGCUUGUAAGUCAGGUGUGAAAUCCUACAGCUUAACUGUAGAACUGCACUUGAAACUACGAGCCUAGAGUAUGGGAGGGGCAGAUGGAAUUAGUGGUGUAGGGGUAAGAUCCGUAGAUAUCACUAGGAAUACCUAAAGCGAAGGCGAUCUGCUGGAACAUAACUGACGCUAAGGCGUGAAAGCGUGGGGAGCAAACAGGAUUAGAUACCCCGGUAGUC